CUUUGGGGUGUGACUGCGUACCUUUUGUAUAAUGGGUCAGCGACUUAUAUUCUGUAGCAAGGUUAACCGUAUAGGGGAGCCGUAGGGAAACCGAGUCUUAACCGGGCGUUAAGUUGCAGGGUAUAGACCCGAAACCCGGUGAUCUAGCCAUGGGCAGGUUGAAGGUUGGGUAACACUAACUGGAGGACCGAACCGACUAAUGUUGAAAAAUUAGCGGAUGACCUGUGGCUGGGGGUGAAAGGCCAAUCAAACCGGGAGAUAGCUGGUUCUCCCCGAAAGCUAUUUAGGUAGCGCCUCGUGAAUUCAUCUCCGGGGGUAGAGCACUGUUUCGGCUAGGGGGCCAUCCCGGCUUACCAACCCGAUGCAAACUGCGAAUACCGGAGAAUGUUAUCACGGGAGACACACGGCGGGUGCUAACGUCCGUCGUGAAGAGGGAAACAACCCAGACCGCCAGCUAAGGUCCCAAAGUCAUGGUUAAGUGGGAAACGAUGUGGGAAGGCCCAGACAGCCAGGAUGUUGGCUUAGAAGCAGCCAUCAUUUAAAGAAAGCGUAAUAGCUCACUGGUCGAGUCGGCCUGCGCGGAAGAUGUAACGGGGCUAAACCAUGCACCGAAGCUGCGGCAGCGACACUGUGUGUUGUUGGGUAGGGGAGCGUUCUGUAAGCCUGUGAAGGUGGCCUGUGAGGGUUGCUGGAGGUAUCAGAAGUGCGAAUGCUGACAUAAGUAACGAUAAAGCGGGUGAAAAGCCCGCUCGCCGGAAGACCAAGGGUUCCUGUCCAACGUUAAUCGGGGCAGGGUGAGUCGACCCCUAAGGCGAGGCCGAAAGGCGUAGUCGAUGGGAAACAGGUUAAUAUUCCUGUACUUGGUGUUACUGCGAAGGGGGGACGGAGAAGGCUAUGUUGGCCGGGCGACGGUUGUCCCGGUUUAAGCGUGUAGGUGUGUGUUCCAGGUAAAUCCGGUUCACUUUAACACUGAGGCGUGAUGACGAGGCACUACGGUGCUGAAGCAACAAAUGCCCUGCUUCCAGGAAAAGCCUCUAAGCAUCAGGUAACAUCAAAUCGUACCCCAAACCGACACAGGUGGUCAGGUAGAGAAUACCAAGGCGCUUGAGAGAACUCGGGUG
rnacentral:rRNA from 1 species